rnacentral:rRNA from 1 species
AUACGUAGGGGGCGAGCGUUGUCCGGAAUUACUGGGCGUAAAGAGCGUGUAGGCGGGUGCUUAAGUCAGGUGUGAAAGACCGGGGCUCAACUCCGGGGUUGCACUUGAAACUGGGCAUCUUGAGGGCAGGAGAGGAAAGUGGAAUUCCUGGUGUAGCGGUGAAAUGCGUAGAUAUCAGGAGGAACACCGGUGGCGAAGGCGGCUUUCUGGACUGACCCUGACGCUGAGACGCGAAAGCGUGGGGAGCAAACAGGAUUAGAUACCCUGGUAGUCCACGCUGUAAACGAUGGGCACUAGGUGUAGGAGGUAUCGACCCCUUCUGUGCCGCAGCUAACGCAAUAAGUGCCCCGCCUGGGGAGUACGGUCGCAAGGCUGAA